GACGAACGCUGGCGGCGUGCUUAACACAUGCAAGUCGAACGGAAAGGCCCUGCUUUUGUGGGGUGCUCGAGUGGCGAACGGGUGAGUAACACGUGAGUAACCUGCCCUUGACUUUGGGAUAACUUCAGGAAACUGGGGCUAAUACCGGAUAGGAGCUCCUGCUGCAUGGUGGGGGUUGGAAAGUUUCGGCGGUUGGGGAUGGACUCGCGGCUUAUCAGCUUGUUGGUGGGGUAGUGGCUUACCAAGGCUUUGACGGGUAGCCGGCCUGAGAGGGUGAACGGCCACAUUGGGACUGAGGUACGGCCCAGACUGCUACGGUAGGCAGCAGUGGGGAAUAUUGCACAAUGGGCGGAAGCCUGAUGCAGCAACGCCGCGUGCGGGAUGACGGCCUUCGGGUUGUAAACCGCUUUCGCCUGUGACGAAGCGUGAGUGACGGUAAUGGGUAAAGAAGCACCGGCUAACUACGUG
rnacentral:rRNA from 1 species